UCAGUACUGUAAGGUUAACUUACUUUAAUGUUUGAAAAUGAUUAAGUUGAAAAUGCUUGUUAGAAAUUUAGAAAAUUAAUCCAGUUGCAUUACUUUAAAUAAACUGCUAAUUACUAAUACACAUUUAAAUGGCUUAACUUGUGAUCAUUGACCACUACAUUUCUAAAGUAACCUUCCCAAUAUUCUUUUACAUGCUAUUGGGUAGGUUGUUGUGACAAAUCAUUCUGUCUUUGAAAUUAAUUAGCAGUUUAGUGAUGAGUGGUCUUUCCACUUGAUUUGAAGCCGAUAAAUAUGAAUAUUUUCGAGUUUGAGACGCAUGUAGCGAGACUAAUUUACAAACGCUGAAACUAUUCCAGCACUCCCUGGCCUAACAAUCCUUCUGAAUCCUCCUCUGUAGGUUCCGGUCAGUGUCCGGCCAGGCUGACGGCCAAGCUGGACUAUCAAGGAUGUACUUCUGACAGAGACUGCUCUGGAGGAUACAUAUGCUGUUCAUAUCCCCGUGGGUACGUGUGUGUGGCGCCUGUUUCCGUCAGACCGCCGAAGCCUCCAGCGAAGCCUGUCAAAAAAUUCAAUCCACUCCCCAGCGACAGUUUUUUGUGUCAAGAUGAUUUUGAAUAACAUUCUUUACGUUCAAUUCAGUGCUUUUUAUACGAGAUGGUUAAUAAAGGUUGUUUAGUGAAA